ACUGGCAUAGAUUUGAAACUUG
rnacentral:miRNA from 1 species